UUUUUAUGGUAUUGAUAAUUUAUUAUAAAACGAUACUAAUUUUUGAUUCACAACUUCAUUUUCGUUACUGGCCUGGUUUUAUGCUCAUAUUAGACCGUUAUUGUCUAUAAAAUGAUGAAUGCCUUCAAUAAAAAUUAAACACGUGUGAAUUGCGACCCUCGCUUCGCUCUGGCCGCAAACUUCACACUCAUUAUUUUUUUGUGGUUUAUUCGCUUUUGUUAACAAGACAAAAUAAAAUAUCAAGAAAGACUUAUUGAAAUAGAUCAAAAAAUUCGUUUAGCAACAGCAGCUAUAUCGUUAGA